rnacentral:rRNA from 1 species
CAGUCGAGCGGAACGAGUUAUCUGAACCUUCGGGGAACGAUAACGGCGUCGAGCGGCGGACGGGUGAGUAAUGCCUAGGAAAUUGCCCUGAUGUGGGGGAUAACCAUUGGAAACGAUGGCUAAUACCGCAUGAUGCCUACGGGCCAAAGAGGGGGACCUUCGGGCCUCUCGCGUCAGGAUAUGCCUAGGUGGGAUUAGCUAGUUGGUGAGGUAAGGGCUCACCAAGGCGACGAUCCCUAGCUGGUCUGAGAGGAUGAUCAGCCACACUGGAACUGAGACACGGUCCAGACUCCUACGGGAGGCAGCAGUGGGGAAUAUUGCACAAUGGGCGCAAGCCUGAUGCAGCCAUGCCGCGUGUGUGAAGAAGGCCUUCGGGUUGUAAAGCACUUUCAGUCGUGAGGAAGGUGGUGUAGUUAAUAGCUGCAUUAUUUGACGUUAGCGACAGAAGAAGCACCGGCUAACUCCGUGCCAGCAGCC